GUAACAAACCCUGGAUUGGCAAACACAAGGAGACACCUCACGUUCGUUGCAAAUUCGGCAGAUGAACAAUUUGUUGUAAAGCAUCAGCAAAUAUAGUGGAUAUCAUGGAAAGGUUGGUAAAAGCCUUCAGGAGAUGGAAUGCCAUGGGAUGGAUGGUGAAUGUUUACAGAUGGGUGUGGGGUUGGUUUAGAGGAAAUAACAAUGCACUCACGGAUCAAACAACAGAUGAAAGAGAUCGACCAGUGAUAAUAACCCAAAUGAUGUUUACUUCUACAACCAACCCCCACCAACCAAUGUUGAUGUUCAAACACUUGGUGAGUUUUAGAAUAAGAACAUAACUCAUGUAACUGUCCUGUUAUUGUUUCAAUAUAAAGAAUAAACUUGAUGGACAUGUCACAUGCGUCUGUCACUGGCGUCGAUUUAUAUCAGUGGUUCUUAAACUGGGGGGCGCGCCCCCCUAGUGGGGCGUGUAACACUUGGAAGGGGGGCGCGAUAAAGUAUAAAAUAAAGUGUUAUAUCUCUUAUUACAGUGGUGUUCAAAAGGCUUAAACACGACGCACGCAAAAGUUAAAUUAAAAUAGCAAACCUUUAAGUCUGAAUUGCUAUUAUGUCUUAAUUAAUUGCCAGACAAA